rnacentral:lncRNA from 1 species
CUUGCUACUAACCAAAUUAGUAGUAGGUAUUUGGGAGAGAAAUUGGUUCAUCUAAUCUAUUUAAGAGAAAAGUUGACUUUAGAGUGAGGAUGUAAUCCCGAAAGUUUGUGUAUGAGUUGUGAAUUUUUAAAAUGUGAUCUUUAGGUGCUCAGGCGUUUCUGGUGGAGGUGCUAGAUGAGCUGAGUUGGCAGUUAAUUGGAACUUUCCUGUUGCAAAACCGAAAAUCUCAACACAGCGUUUCCUGAUGACCUGUUUCACUGUCUUAUUUGUCUCAUAGACUACGCACUACUUGCUCAGGUGGUGCACCAAUACUUUGCUAAGGAAAUUCAAUCUCCUAGUGCAGUUUCUAAGACAUAUUUAUUAAUUGAGGCUGACUCACCAUCCCAGAGUUGUAAUAUCAUUAAAGGCUGUCCAAUGACAUAAGUCUUGAAAAUGUUCCUUCAAUUAUUUGCACUAGUCCAUUUACCCUGCUCCUCUUGUCUCCUGGAGCUGCAAUCCUAGCUUAAUCCCAAAUUUGGACAUUCAUCUAUUUAUUCAUUCAUUCACUCAGUUCAAGCAUUUAAUAUUUAUUGGGUGUCAGCUCUUGUUGCUGUGCUAAACCCUCAGGGUACUAAGUUGAGUAAAACCUCAGAAUUCCAUAAUCGGUGGAGACCUUAGAGAUCAUCCAGUGAAAAGCAAGAAAAUCAGGAUAAAAUAUCUCAUCAUGCAUGAAAAAAUAGCUUCUCUGCUCAAGAGAGGUGAGAAGCCAAGAAUAACUCCAUGUGCCAAUUUCCCAGACUCUGAGAAUUUUAUAGGCUUAAAGUGCCACGGAGAUUCUGUUGUCGUUUAUGCUUUUUUUUUUCUAUUUGUAUUACAGUUAACAAGAUCAACCUUGCUGGGAAAUGAACAAGUGACCAGAGUUGAGAGCAGUGCUGUGCAGAUGGUAAGUAUAGAAGCUUUGUGAAUAAAAGCUGGUCAUGGUUAACCCUCAGAUUAU